GUGUGUGUGUGUGUGUGUGUGUGUGUGCGUGUGUGUGUGUGUGUGUGUGUGUAGUAUGCAUGCAUUAGGGAGAAAGUGCGAUCCGGGUCUACUGUGUGUAUUUGUGUGAUCUGGGCUGUUGUCCACAGUAUGCGUGCAUGCAUCACUGGGUUUCAGACUCUUUGUUGGCUAGUUGGAGGCGGGGCCGCAGGUCCCUUUGUGCCGCUCAGUUUUCGGUCAAAACCAGAACCACCGAGCUGCAGACGCGCCAAAAGCGUGACAGCGGACUAUACCAAGUUAUGUGUAAAAAGACAAGAAGUGUAUAAACGGUUUCGUCAAGAUGUGAUUUUUAGAUGAGUCGUUAAACAGUAGUUGUGUUGAGCUGUCCUGCGGUCUGGCAGGUGUGGGAUGUUGUGCAUUGUUGUUCAAUCUCCCGCCAAUAUUGCACUCGUCCCGGCCUCCCUGACCACGAGGAACACGCGACUCCCCGCUGGAAUCUCCCGCCACAGCACGUGCACAAUGCGACCGCUAGGACGGCGCCAGUCUGCCUCCGAGUUCAAUGGCCCCAUACUGAGUCUCAGGGGCACUAUAGAGAGACGGAGGGCGUUUCGAUCUCCUCACACUUUUAUGUGCAUUAGAAC